AUGAAACACUGAAUGACAGCAGUUGUCAUCAUGGAGAGAUUCAUUGUGCUCUUUGCGUUGUGUUGUCAAGACAAAUUGGUCCACUCAGCUGUCAGGGAAGUCAGUGUUGGGGAAACAGUCGUACUGGACUGCGACCUAAAAAUGUGGAAUAGCACAGUUGUGUGGCUUGGACAGCGCUGGGGAGAGGUUCCUUUCAUUAUACUGACUAAGGAAAAUAACAUUGACAAAUACUUCCAUGGCUAUGACAAACGUUUUUCGAUUGAACAUAAUCAAAUCAGUAAUUUGUCCAGCCUGAAGAUUUGCAACAUUACUGAUGCAGACCUGGGACUUUUCUACUGUGCGCAAUAUUUUUUUUUAAUUCAUAUGAUUAUAGGUUCUUCGUACAAUCUGACACUUGCAGAAUUCACAGAAAAUUCAGCGCCUCCGCUCACCACAGUGCCGCAUCACCCAGCGAUGUGCUCUGACCCCGGAGGCCUGUCCACGGCUGCAGUGACCGCUCUAAUCUCUGCUUUGGUGGUCGGCCUGCUCUCCUCCGCUGGUUUUUAUCUUUAUACUCUCUGUCGAA